GAGCCAGUGGUUGAUAGUGGGGUGGAAGUUGCCGCUAACGAGCCUCUUCAAGAAGCCCAAAUUACAGACCAUGGGAAGCAUGUUAUACGUUACAGCAGGAUGUGCACAAACUUUAAUAAGAUUGUGAGACCUUUUAUGGCUGAUGACGAGGGGUAUGCCAUAGUAUCAAAACAAGUGAGUGCUCUACAAUCUAAGCUUGUUGCUUUGGGGGAAAAGGAGAGCGUCAAGUAUUCUUCCGGGGCUGGAGUGUGAACAAGUUGAUAUUGAACAACCCGCUGCGUCAAGGCCGCAGAACAAAUCGCGCAAAAAACAAGCUCAUCAACCGGAGGGGGUGGGGAUCCAAAUCUGUCACAACAGCCUAAUGGCUCGCAUGUUGCUGGUGCUGAGAUUGGGGACCCACCAAUAACAAAGAAGCAAGGGCGUCCAAGGUCAAAGAGAUACAAGACAGGGUUGGGGUUGCUUCCCCCCAAAAAAACCACCGUGUGGAUAUUGUGGUUCAACAGAACAUACCGCAUCGACUUGCCCCGCCAAGCCGGCAAGAAAGCAAACAAAAGAACUCUCGGAUAAAUCACUAAAUGAGGUUGCUGCUGCGUGAAAAAACAAGAUGUGUUGCAGGGGGAUGCAUCUAACAUUUUUUCCACUUCCUUGUAAUUUAUUAAACUGCAAUUAGUGAUUUAUGAUUUUAUUAAAGCAUUGUGUGUGGUGAUGUAAUAAUGAAUAGUUGAUGCUUUUGUAUAUUUCAGACUUGCUAUAUAUAUGGAUAAAUAUACUUUUAAUAAAA